UACGUAGGGUGCAAGCGUUGUCCGGAAUUAUUGGGCGUAAAGAGCUCGUAGGCGGUUUGUUGCGUCGGCUAUGAAAACCUGAGGCUCAACCUCAGGCCUGCAGUCGAUACGAGCAGACUAGAGUGUUGCAGGGGAGACUGGAAUUCCUGGUGUAGCGGUGAAAUGCGCAGAUAUCAGGAGGAACACCGGUGGCGAAGGCGGGUCUCUGGGCAACAACUGACGCUGAGGAGCGAAAGCGUGGGGAGCGAACAGG
rnacentral:rRNA from 1 species